GACGAACGCUGGCGGCGUGCUUAACACAUGCAAGUCGAACGGAAAGGCCUGCAGCUUGCUGCGGGUACUCGAGUGGCGAACGGGUGAGUAACACGUGGGUGAUCUGCCUUGCACUUCGGGAUAAGCUUGGGAAACUGGGUCUAAUACCGGAUAGGACAGCUGUUUAGUGUCAGUUGUGGAAAGUUUUUUCGGUGCAAGAUGAGCUCGCGGCCUAUCAGCUUGUUGGUGGGGUAAUGGCCUACCAAGGCGUCGACGGGUAGCCGGCCUGAGAGGGUGUACGGCCACAUUGGGACUGAGAUACGGCCCAGACUCCUACGGGAGGCAGCAGUGGGGAAUAUUGCACAAUGGGCGGAAGCCUGAUGCAGCGACGCCGCGUGGGGGAUGAAGGCCUUCGGGUUGUAAACUCCUUUCGACAGGGACGAAGCGUAAGUGACGGUACCUGUAUAAGAAGCACCGGCUAACUACGUGCCAGCAGCCGCGGUAAUACGUAGGGUGCGAGCGUUGUCCGGAAUUACUGGGCGUAAAGAGCUCGUAGGUGGUUUGUCGCGUCGUCUGUGAAAUUCCGGGGCUUAACUCCGGGCGUGCAGGCGAUACGGGCUGACUUGAGUGCUGUAGGGGAGACUGGAAUUCCUGGUGUAGCGGUGAAAUGCGCAGAUAUCAGGAGGAACACCGAUGGCGAAGGCAGGUCUCUGGGCAGUAACUGACGCUGAGGAGCGAAAGCAUGGGUAGCGAACAGGAUUAGAUACCCUGGUAGUCCAUGCCGUAAACGGUGGGCGCUAGGUGUAGGGGGCUUCCACGUCUUCUGUGCCGUAGCUAACGCAUAAAGCGCCCCGCCUGGGGAGUACGGCCGCAAGGCUA
rnacentral:rRNA from 1 species